rnacentral:rRNA from 1 species
GACGAACGCUGGCGGCGUGCUUAACACAUGCAAGUCGAACGAAGAGCGAUGGAAGCUUGCUUCUAUCAAUCUUAGUGGCGAACGGGUGAGUAACGCGUAAUCAACCUGCCCUUCAGAGGGGGACAACAGUUGGAAACGACUGCUAAUACCGCAUACGAUCUAAUCUCGGCAUCGAGGAUAGAUGAAAGGUGGCCUCUACAUGUAAGCUAUCACUGAAGGAGGGGAUUGCGUCUGAUUAGCUAGUUGGCGGGGUAACGGCCCACCAAGGCGAUGAUCAGUAGCCGGUCGGAGAGGAUGAACGGCCACAUUGGGACUGAGACACGGCCCAGACUCCUACGGGAGGCAGCAGUGGGGAAUCUUCCGCAAUGGACGAAAGUCUGACGGAGCAACGCCGCGUGAGGGAUGACGGCCUUCGGGUUGUAAAGCUCUGUUAAUCGGGACGAAAGGCCUUCUUGCGAAUAGUGAGAAGGAUUGACGGUACCGGAAGAGAAAGCCACGGCUAACUACGUG